rnacentral:rRNA from 1 species
GGUUGAUCCUGCCGGACCAUACUGCUAUCGGGAUAAGACUAAGCCAUGCGAGUCAAGCGCUUCUUAGCUAUGUUAGAAGUGCGGCAGACCGCUCAGUAACGCGUAGCUAACCUACCUUUAGGACUUGGAUAACCCCGGGAAACUGGGGUUAAUACUAGAUAGGUGGAAGUUCCUGGAAUGGUUCUCCGCCUAAAUCGUAUUAGGAACAUGCUUCUAAUUCGGCCUAAAGAUGGGGCUACGUCCGAUCAGGUAGUUGGUGGGGUAAUGGCCCACCAAGCCUAUAACCGGUACGGGCCCUGAGAGGGGGAGCCCGGAGAUGGGAACUGAGACAAGGUCCCAGGCCCUAUGGGGCGCAGCAGGCGCGAAAACUCCACAAUACACGAAAGUGUGAUGGGGUUAGCCCGAGUGCCGUCCGAUGAGGAGGGCUUUUCUUUUGUAUAAUAAGCAGAAGGAAUAAAGGGGGGGCAAGUCUGGUGUCAGCCGCCGCGGUAAUACCAGCCCCCUAAGUGGUAUGGACGAUUAUUUGGCCUAAAGCGUCCGUAGCUGGUUUAAUAAGUCUCCCGUUAAAUCUAACGAUUCAAUCGUUAGGCUUCGGGAGAUACUGUUAGACUAGAGGACGGGAGAGGUCGACGGUAGUCCUGAUGUAGGAGUGAAAUCCUAUAAUCUCAGGAGGACCACCAGUGGCGAAGGCGGUCGACCAGAACGUGCCUGACGGUGAGGGACGAAAGCUGGGGGAGCGAACCGGAUUAGAUACCCGGGUAGUCCCAGCUGUAAACGAUGCGAGCUAGGUGUUGGAGUGACCAAGUGUUACUCCAGUGCCGCAGAGAAGUUAUUAAGUUCGCCGCCUGGGAAGUACGGCCGCAAGGCUGAAACUUAAAGGAAUUGGCGGGGGAGCACCACAAGGGGUGAAGGCUGUGGUUCAAUUGGAGCAACGCCGGAAAUCUUACUGGGGCUGACAGCAGAUUGAAGGUCAGGCUGAAGACCUUACCAGACAAGCUGAGAGGUGGCGCAUGGCCGUCGCCAGUUCGUGCCGUGAGGUGUCCUGUUAAGUCAGGUAACGAACGAGACCCCCACUAUUAUUUGCAAACAAUCUCCGACUGGAGAGUUUGAGCACAAUAAUGGGACUGCCGCUGAUAAGGCGGAGGAAGGAGGGGACCACGGCAGGUCAGCAUGCCCCGAAUGCCUCAGGCCACACACGGCCUGCAAUGGUAGUGACAGAGGGUUCUAACCUCGAAAGGGGAAAGUAAUCCCUAAACACUAUCUCAGUUGGGAUUGAGGGCUGUAACUCGCCCUCAUGAACAUGGAAUCCCUAGUAACCGCAUGUCAUCAUCAUGCGGUGAAUACGUCCCUGCUCCUUGCACACACCGCCCGUCGCUCCAUCCAAGUCGGGUCUAGAUGAGGAUAAAUCUUGUUGGUUUCUUCGAAUCUAGGUUCGGUGAGGGGGGAGAAGUCGUAACAAGGUG